rnacentral:misc_RNA from 1 species
GAGAACAUAGAGAGUAUUGGAUUAACGACGGUAUUUACGGUUCCAUGAACUGUAUCUUAUACGAUCAUGCAACUAUCAAGUGCGCGCCUCUCGCGUGCACUUCAAAUCGUGUAAACCCCACGUGCAAAGGAUCGAGGACGUAUAGCUCGACUGUUUUUGGUCCCACGUGUGAUGCGCUUGACACGGUUUUAAAAGGUCACCCAUUACCGGAAGUGCAGGUCAACGAUUGGCUGGUGUUCCCCUGCAUGGGAGCAUAUACG